rnacentral:rRNA from 1 species
GAUGAACGCUGGCGGCGUGCCUAAUACAUGCAAGUCGAGCGAACAGACGAGGAGCUUGCUCCUCUGACGUUAGCGGCGGACGUGUGAGUAAAACGUGGAUAACCUACCUAUAAGACUGGGAUAACUUCGGGAAACCGGAGCUAAUACCGGAUAACAUGUUGAACCGCAUGGUUCAACAGUGAAAGACGGUCUUGCUGUCACUUAUAGAUGGAUCCGCGCCGCAUUAGCUAGUUGGUAAGGUAACGGCUUACCAAGGCAACGAUGCGUAGCCGACCUGAGAGGGGGAUGGGCCCCACUGGAACUGAGAGACGGUACAGACUCCUACGGGCGGCAGCAGUAGGGAAGCGUGCGAAAUGGGCGGAAUCUUGACGGAGGAACGCCGCGUGAGUGAAGAAGGUCUUCGGAUCGUAAAACUCUGUUAUUAGGGAAGAACAAAUGUGUAAGUAACUAUGCACGUCUUGACGGUACCUAAUCAGAAAGCAACGGCUAACUACGUG